UUUUUCUCGAUUGUUUACACACAAAUAUUGGUACUUGAAACACAAUGACCACAAAAUGUAACUCAUGCACCAACCCCCUGAACCAAUUCUGCUAAACUACAAGCACAAUUCCUGCUUUACACUCAAAUUGCAGUUCUAAAACACACUUUUUCCAAAACUCUACACACAAUUGUCAUGAAGAAAAUCUCUUGUUUUCACAAGGAACACACUGUUAUUCAAAACUCUAAAGUUAAUUGCCCUACUAUGCACACUGGCUCCUCACAUGGGCAAACACCUAACACACACGUUUCCACUCAGCAAUCAGAGCUUUAGCAUAAAAGGGCAACAGGUGAGCUCUUCUGUUUUGGAGCAAUGGAGGCCAAUGUUGUAAACAGAGGCAGAGCCAGAGCCAGAGGAGUGAGAGUAAGAGGAGGACGAUGGGGAGGACGAGGACGAGGAAGGCCAAGGACAAUCAUUUCUGAUGAGAUCCGAGCCACUUUGGUUGACCAUGUGGUCAACCAUGGCCUAACAAUGAGGGAGGCUGGGCAAAGAGUACAGCCAAAUUUGAGCAGGUACACUGUAGCAUCCAUCAUCCGGACUUUCCGCAAUGAGAAUAGAACUGAAAGAUUACCAACAAGAGGUGGACGGGGCCGUCUUCUGUCUCCUGAACAGAAAACAGAGAUCAUGAACAUGGUUCUUGAAAAUAACGCCAUUACCUUACGGCAAAUACAAAGAAAAAUAAUAGAAAACAAUGAGAUAUUUCAAAAUAUUGAUAGGGUAAGUUUAUCAACGCUGGACCGUGUCUUGCACAGAAAUAAACUGAGGAUGAAGCAGGUCUACAGGGUGCCGUUUGAGCGCAAUUCAGAAAGAGUCAAAGAAUUGCGAUAAAACUAUGUGCAAGUACGUCCUAUACAUUCCCACCCUUGAUGCAUACUGUCAACAUUGUAUAAAUCAUACAUAUUUCUUUCUAUUAUAUUGUAAUCAUAAUGAUUGUGCUUCACAAUAGUGACCGCUCCAUGUCUACUUCUGAUAUUGUCAUGUGUGUUUCAGAGAGUCCUUGAGCUGGAGGUGGAUGCAGUGGAGCACCAGUUCAUCUUCAUUGAUGAGGUUGGAUUCAACCUCACAAAAAGACGAAGGAGGGGAAGGAAUAUAAUCGGCCAGCGUGCCAUUGUUGAAGUCCCUGGCCAGCGCGGAGGGAACAUCACAAUGUGUGCAGCGAUGACCCACCAUGGCAUCAUCCAUCACCAUGCUACCCUUGGCCCCUACAACACUGCCCAUCUGAUCACAUUCCUGGACACCCUACACAACACACUCAUUCCACCAGAUCAGAUAGACGGCCCAGAGCAGCUCAGGUACGUUGUCAUUUGGGACAACGUAAGCUUCCACCGGGCUGCUCUGGUUCAUAACUGGUUCACUGACCACCCACGCUUUUCAGUUGUUUAUCUCCCUCCAUAUUCUCCAUUCCUCAAUCCUAUUGAGGAAUUUUUUUCUGCCUGGAGAUGGAAAGUGUACGACCUAAAUUCAGAAACGCGUAUACCCCUUUUCCAAGCUAUGGAAGACGCAUGUGGAGAUAUAGCAGUUGAUGCUUUUCAUGGCUGGAUUCGCCAUGCUAGGCGAUAUUUCCCCCGCUGCUUGGCCAGGGAAAACAUUGCUUGUGAUGUAGAUGAGGUGCUGUGGCCAGACCGAAACAGAAGAGAGGAUGCAGCAUAGUUUAUUUUGUUUUGUUUUUUUUAUUAUUAACUGUAUACAGUAAAAUCUUCUGCACUGUAUGUGCAACUUUGUGUCGGUUGGGAUGUACACUGUGUACAUUGUUUUGUGGGAAAAAUAAAACAUGUUUGUUACAGUA